rnacentral:rRNA from 1 species
GAUGAACGCUGGCGGCGUGCCUAAUACAUGCAAGUCGAGCGAACGGACGAGAAGCUUGCUUCUCUGAUGUUAGCGGCGGACGGGUGAGUAACACGUGGAUAACCUACCUAUAAGACUGGGAUAACUUCGGGAAACCGGAGCUAAUACCGGAUGAUAUUUUGAACCGCAUGGUUCAAAAGUGAAAGACGGUCUUGCUGUCACUUAUAGAUGGAUCCGCGCUGCAUUAGCUAGUUGGUAAGGUAACGGCUUACCAAGGCAACGAUGCAUAGCCGAUCUGAGAGGGUGAUCGGCCACACUGGAACUGAGACACGGUCCAGACUCCUACGGGAGGCAGCAGUAGGGAAUCUUCCGCAAUGGGCGAAAGCCUGACGGAGCAACGCCGCGUGAGUGAUGAAGGUCUUCGGAUCGUAAAACUCUGUUAUUAGGGAAGAACAUAUGUGUAAGUAACUGUGCACAUCUUGACGGUACCUAAUCAGAAAGCCACGGCUAACUACGUG